AUUGAACGCUGGCGGCAGGCCUAACACAUGCAAGUCGAGCGGAUGAAGGGAGCUUUCUCCUGGAUUCAGCGGCGGACGGGUGAGUAAUGCCUAGGAAUCUGCCUGGUAGUGGGGGAUAACGUCCGGAAACGGGCGCUAAUACCGCAUACGUCCUGAGGGUGAAAGUGGGGGAUCUUCGGACCUCACGCUAUCAGAUGAGCCUAGUUCGGAUUAGCUAGUUGGUGGGGUAAAGGCCUACCAAGGCGACGAUCCGUAACUGGUCUGAGAGGAUGAUCAGUCACACUGGAACUGAGACACGGUCCAGACUCCUACGGGAGGCAGCAGUGGGGAAUAUUGGACAAUGGGCGAAAGCCUGAUGCAGCCAUGCCGCGUGUGUGAAGAAGGUCUUCGGAUUGUAAAGCACUUUAAGUUGGGAGGAAGAGAAGUAAGUUAAUCCAUUGACGUCUUGACGUUACCAACAGAAAAAGCAACGGCUAACUUCGUG
rnacentral:rRNA from 1 species